UCGGGUGUAGUGUAUGGAACACCCUCUUCCAUGCUGUUGCGAUGGAAGUGAUUAAUCCAGGAGAAACCCAGGUUCGAUUCCUGGCACCCGAA